rnacentral:rRNA from 1 species
AGUUGGUGAGGUAAUGGCUCACCAAGGCUUCGAUCAGUAGCUGGUCUGAGAGGAUGAUCAGCCACACUGGGACUGAGACACGGCCCAGACUCCUACGGGAGGCAGCAGUGGGGAAUUUUCCGCAAUGGGCGAAAGCCUGGCGGAGCAACGCCGCGUGAGGGACGAAGGCCUCUGGGCUGUAAACCCCUUUUCUCAAGGAAGAAGAUAUGACGGUACUUGAGGAAUAGGCCACGGCUAAUUCCGUGCCAGCAGCCGCGGUAAUACGGGAGUGGCAAGCGUUAUCCGGAAUUAUUGGGCGUAAAGCGUCCGCAGGCGGCUUUUCAAGUCUGCUGUUAAAGCGUGGAGCUUAACUCCAUCAUGGCAGUGGAAACUGAAAGGCUUGAGUAUGGUAGGGGCAGAGGGAAUUCCCGGUGUAGCGGUGAAAUGCGUAGAUAUCGGGAAGAACACCAGUGGCGAAGGCGCUCUGCUGGGCCAUUACUGACGCUCAUGGACGAAAGCCAGGGGAGCGAAAGGGAUUAGAUACCCCUGUAGUCCUGGCCGUAAACGAUGAACACUAGGUGUCGGGGGAAUCGACCCCUUCGGUGUCGUAGCUAACGCGUUAAGUGUUCCGCCUGGGGAGUACGCACGCAAGUGUGAAACUCAAAGGAAUUGACGGGGGCCCGCACAAGCGGUGGAGUAUGUGGUUUAAUUCGAUGCAACGCGAAGAACCUUACCAGGGUUUGACAUCCUGCGAACCUCUUAGAAAUUUGGGGGUGCCUUCGGGAAUGCAGUGACAGGUGGUGCAUGGCUGUCGUCAGUUCGUGUCGUGAGAUGUUGGGUUAAGUCCCGCAACGAGCGCAACCCACGUUUUUAGUUGCCAGCAUUUAGUUGGGCACUCUAGAAAGACCGCCGGUGAUAAACCGGAGGAAGGUGGGGAUGACGUCAA